GCUGGCUGCAGUGGUGUGUGCCUGUAAUCCCAGUGACUUGGGAGGCUGAGGCAGGAGGAUUGCAAGUUUGAGAUCAGCCUCCCAACUUACAGGAACCAUAGCAACUUGGCAAGACCCUGUCUCAA
rnacentral:sRNA from 1 species